rnacentral:lncRNA from 1 species
CACAGUCACACACUUAGCAGCCGAGGAGAGAGAGGAAGGACAGCUGUGAAAACUACAGCUGGAAAAUGAGUCGGAAGCACAGUAGCAUUUGGAUGCAUUUUAAUAAUGUAGACACAGUGCACAGUGUAGAAUUUGCCAAAACAAAAUCUCACAUAAAGCCGGUUCUACGCACAACCUACACCGGCAUAUGCGAACUGUGCACCCAACUGUGAAGCUAGCUGUAGCGGCGCUUCGAGAAACUAGCGGGCCUGCUAGUGAUAGUGGUGGAGCCAGCACACGUGUUUAUAUACAUUAAAAAGUUAUACUUUAAAUGCAAAUGCUUAAUAGCAUUCUUUUUCAUAACAAACCAAUGCAUUUCUAAAUACAUUGUGGUCAAGGUAGAGUAUGAUUUCAUUUAAUAAUUUAAUUCGAGUUGUUUUAACACCAAUCAUAGUCAAACUAUCGCAAACUGACUUGAAAAAAUACAACAACAAAAAAUUUAAAGAGCCGUUUGGGAGCCUAAAGAGCAGGCUCUUUUUGAUGAGCUGAGCCGAACGAGCCGGCUCACUGAAAAGAGCCGGAAUUCCCAUCACUAAUAACUGUACAGUUUUACUUGACACUCCCAUCCAGAGCAAUCACAGGAGCAACCAGGGUCAAGCGCCCCGCCCAAGGGCACAUCAACAAAUCUCCCAAGUCAAAUCGGGGACCCAAACCACAGAACAAGCUCCCAACUGCCAGGCCACCAACCAUCCAAGAUCCCCCCCACAGUUCCCUCGAGCUGCCCCUCAACCAUCCGAGACUCCCCCUACACUGAACAAAAAUAUAAACACAACAUUCAACAAUUUCAAAUAUUUUACAGAGUUACAGUUCAUAUAAGGAAAUCAGUCAAUUGAAAUAAAUUCAUUAGGCCCUAAUCCAGUUGCGUAAAGUACUUCAGUAAAAACAACUUUAAAGUACUACUUAAGUAGUUUUUUGGGGUAUCUGUACUUUUCUUUACUAUUUAUAUUUUUUGCCUACUUUUACUUCACUACAUAUCUAAAGAAAAUAAUGUACUUUUUACUCCACACAUUUUCCCUGACACCCAAAAUUACAUUUUCACAGGAAAAUGGUCCAAUUCACACACUUAUCAAGAGAACAUCCCUGGUCAUCCCUACUACCUCUGAGCUGGCAGACAAAUUAUGCCUCAGUGUUGGAGUGUGCCCCUGGCUAUCCGUAAAUACUUCUUUUUUUUAACAAGAAAAUUGUACUUUCUGGUUUACAUAAUAUAAGGAAUUUGACGUUAUUAAUACUUUUACUUUUGAUACUGAAGUAUAUUUAAAACCUUACUCCGGUAGUAUUGUACUGGGUGACUUUCACUUUUACUUGAGUCGUUUUCUAUUAAGGUAUCUUUACCUUUACUCAAGUAUGACAGUUGAGUCCUUUUUCUGCCACUGCCCUAAUCUAUGGAUUUCACAUGACUGGGAAUACAGACAUGCAACUGUUGGUCAGUAUCUGGUGUGACCACCAUUUGCCUCAUGCAACGUGACACAUCUCCUUCGCAUAGAGUUGAUCAGGCUGUUGAUUGUGGAAUGUUGUCCCACUCCUUUUCAAUGGCUGUACAAAGUUGCUGGAUAUUGGCGGGAACUGGAACAUGCUGUCAUACACGUCGAUCCCAAACAUGCUCAAUGGGUGACGUGUGGUGAAUAUGCAGGCCAUGGAAGAACUGGGACAUUUUCAGCUUCCAGGAAUUGUGUACAGACCAUAGCGAAAUGGGACUGUGAAUUAUCAUGCUGAAACAUGAGGUGAUGACAGCGGAUGAAUGGCACGACAGUAGGCCUCAGGAUCUCAUCAUGGUAUCUGUGCAUUCAAAUUACCAUCGAUAUAAUGCAAUUGUGGUCAUUGUCUGUAGCUUGUGCCUGCCCAUACCAUAACCACACCGCCAUCAUGGUUCACAAUGUUGAAAUCAGCAAACCUGUUAUGUGAAUUUUGUUAUCAAUGUUCAUUAACUUAAAUGAAUCUACUCAGUCUGCAACCCAGAGUUUGUAAGAUUCUGGUUGAAUGAAACAGAAGAGAGUCCCAGCUUACAAUAGUCAAAAUGUUUAUUCACGAGGGCACUCUGAAGUUCAUUAUACAAAGACAUCCAUUUUAUAGUUCACUUCCUACCUAUGCACAUACAUCCACACAAACAGUAGAUAUCCUACACACAUACAUACACACGAACAGUAGGUGAGUUGUGUGCUUCUCUAGAGUUCUCACCACUGUGUAUCACUACCCAGCGCUGUCCGUUCCAUUCCCCCGAGAUUAGAGAAACCUUGAGAAGUACUCCCUGUCCUAUCAUAAGUUUCUCAGAGUUCUAGCCAGGUCGAGCCAAACACAGUUUUAAUUGUUCUCGGUAUUUUCUUCGGCACACACAUACACACAUUUAUCUACCUCCCAGUCCAACCUAGUUGGACUUAUGUUUAAUACUUUAAUUAUUCAUUAUACAUGCUACAUGAACAACUAUUUACUAAUUAGUUACGUUUCAGGGUAGAAUUAUUUAAACAUAUAAAUUAUUUUAUCAAAACCACUCGACGACACGGCGCCAUACACGGAGUCUGCGGUUGUGAGGCCGAUUGGAUGUACUGCCAAAUUCACUAAAAUGACAUUGGAGGCGGGUUAAGGUAGAGAAAUUAACAUUUAAUUCUCUGGCAACAGCUCUGGCGGAGAUUCCUACAGUCAGCAUGCCAAUUGCACGCUCCCUCAACUUGAGAUAUCUGUGGCAUUGUGUUGUGUGACAACUGCCCAUUUUAGAGCGGCCUUUUAUGGUCCACAGCACAAGGUGCACCUGUGUAAUGAUCAUGCUGUUUAAUCAGCUUUUUGAUUGGCCACAACUAUCAGGUGGAUGGAUUAUCUUGGCAAAGCAGAAAUGCUCACUAAAAGGGAUGUAAACAAAUUUGUGCAUCAAAUUUGAGAGAGAAGCUUUUUGUGCGUAUGGAACAUUUUUGGGAUCUUAAUUUCAGCUCAUGAAACAUGGGACAAACACUUUGCAUGUUGCGUUUUAUAUUUUUGUUCAGUGUAAAUGCCUCAUGUAGUAUUAGAUCGGUAAUAUUGUUUAAAGAUGCACUAUGCAGAAAUCACUCCACCAUUUCCUGGUUGCUAAAGUUCAAAUAUUUCGCUUAAUUUCAGUUUAUGUGACAAAACCAGUAAGUAUAGUGUAGAGAAUCAUUUUAUCAUCUAAAGCGCCGUAAAAUAUAUUUUCCAUAACCAAAAAUAUUGUAUUUUCAGCUGUUUGAAGCUAGUGUACAAAACCGAAUGUAAAAGACACAAAAACAAUAUUUAAGAACGGGACGCAUAGUAAUAGCCCACAUAUAGUAGAACAGAUUUACGGCUUCUUAGACUUGCUUUCAUUGAGAAUGGCAGAUCUAUAACAUCUAUAAUAUGUGAAUUUGGUUGGGUCACCCAAAAAGUUACAUAGCGCAGAUUUAAGUGAAGUCCCCACCGUGCUUCAGAUUGCAUUAAAAAAAAAUCUGCUCUUAUCAUCACUCUGCAUUAGUGUACACUUUUGUUAACCAUGACUAAACUCUACUGCCUAGGCAGGCACAAACACUACAUGACCAAAAGUAUGUGAUACCUGCUCGUCGAACAUCUCAUUCCAAAAUCAUGGGCAUUAAUAUGUUAGUCCCCUCUUUGCUGCUAUAUCAGCCUACACUCUUCUGGGAAGGCUUUCCACUAGAUGUUGGAACAUUGCUGCGGGGCCUUGCUUCCAUUCAGCCACAAGCAUUAUUGAGGUCGGGCACUGAUGUUGGGCGAUUAGGCCAGGCUCGCAGUCUGCAUUCCAAUUCAUCUCAAAGGUGUUUGAUGAGGUUAAGAUUUUUCUUCACUGGAACUAAUGGGCCUAGCCCGAACCAUAAAAAAACAGCCACCAAACUUUACAGUUCGCACUAUGCAUUGAGCCAGGUAGUGUUCUCCUGGCAUCCGCCAAACCCAGAUUUUGUACCGGUACCCAUUGUAUAUAGUCCUGCUAUUGUUAUUUACUGCUGCUCUUGAAUUAUUUGUUAUUCUUAUCUCUAACUUUUUUGGGGUAUUUUCUUAACUGCAUUGUUGGUUAAGGGCUUGUAAGUAAGCAUUUCACUGUAAGGUCUACACCUGUUGUAUUUGGCUCAUGUGACAAAUAAAAUUUGAUUUGAGUUCUUCAGUAAGGCCAGGAGAAUGAAUGGCUGUGUGUUCGAU